UGUUGAAUGCUGUUUGGUGUGUUAAAUGCUGUUUGGUGUGUUGAAUGCUGUUAGGUGUGUUGAAUGCUGUUUGGUGUGUUGAAUGCUGUUUGGUGUGUUGAAUGCUGUUUGGCGUGUUGAAUGCUGUUUGGUGUGUUGAAUGCUGUUUGGUGUGUUGAAUGCUGUUUGGUGUGUUGAAUGCUGUUUGGCGUGUUGAAUGCUGUUUGGUGUGUUGAAUGCUGUUUGGUGUGUUGAAUGCUGUUUGGUGUGUUGAAUGCUGUUUGGUGUGUUGAAUGCUGUUUGGUGUGUUGAAUGCUGUUUGGUGUGUUGAAUGCACCAGUAUCUGUGUCCUCAUUGUCCUCUCCUGCCAUAGUCCUAGUCCAGAUCGAUUACAGGAUUCCAUAGUCCUAGCCCAGAUCGAUUACAGGAUUCCAUAGUCCUAGCCCAGAUCGAUUACAGGAUUCCAUAGUCCUAGCCCAGAUCGAUAACAGGAUUCCUCAGUCCUAGCCCAGAUCGAUUACAGGAUUCCACAGUCCUAGCCCAGAUCGAUUACAGGAUUCCAUAGGCCUAGCCCAGAUCAAUUACAGGAUUUCAUAGUCCUAGCCCAGAUCGAUUACAGGAUUCCAUAGUCCUAGCCCAGAUCGAUUACAGGAUUCCACAGUCCUAGCCCAGAUCGAUUACAGGAUUCCAUAGGCCUAGCCCAGAUCAAUUACAGGAUUUCAUAGUCCUAGCCCAGAUCGAUUACAGGAUUCCAUAGUCCUAGCCCAGAUCGAUUACAGGAUUCCAUAGUCCUAGCCCAGAUCGAUUACAGGAUUCCACAGUUCUAGCCCAGAUCGAUUACAGGAAGCCUUGUUUUCUAUUUUCCUCUGGGUUUAAAUCUACCUAUUUCUUGUCGUCUGUCGUCAGUACAAACUAUUGCUUGCUAAAACAAUACCCUUUCUUUUUCUUCCAACAAUACCGUGUUUGAAAGCAUCCUGUUUUACCUCAAGACGUUAUAAAAGUAAAUUAAAUGUCCUAUCCUGUCCUUAUAGAACACAAGGCCCAAAUGUGAGACUAGUUGAAAAAAAUGACUAACUUCUGUCAGUGGAGUGAAAAACAACAAACGGUCUCUGUCUUUAACUUAGCAAUGACUCGUGUCUACAGUACCACUGGAGCAAAAUGAAAACCUGCUGAUAAAAUACUUUAAAAACACACCAUACAAAAUUAAGAUAAUGUUGAUAAGAUAUUUAAGAAAAUUAAUAUAAUCUAUUUAC